CGUCUCAAAAACAAAACCAAAAAAAAAGAAUUACCUGUCCAUAUUUGUUGUAUUUUUUGUCAUUUCUAGUUUGGUCUUGAGGCCUCUAUCUGGAGGGUGUCCAUAAACUCUAGCCCUGCCCUAAUGGAGUUCCAAGGGAGGUGCUCAUGGCAUUUACAGUGUGUCUAUCCCAGGAUACUUCUUUAUCCUGGUGGAUGGCCUAAUGCCUAAUGUCUGACCCCUGUUGUUCCAUCAGAGGAAAGGUUUGGACUGACAGACAUGCUGGUUUCCUCUGUUUUACCUAGGUUCAGUUUAUUCUUACCAAGAUAGCCACUCUAUAGGGGAUCCCUGAUUAGAAUAUAAGUUAGGUUCUGGUGUGCUGGUCAAAUGAGAUGCAAAGAAGGAAACUCACCAUAUGAAAUAACAGAAGCAGUGUAUGACUUAUAAAUCCCAUAAAGAAGAAGGCAGCACACUGCAGAGGGCAAAUGGGAAGGAAGGAACUUCUGUGGACACACUCCUACAGCCAGCAGGUGGAGAGCAAGGACAGAGGGAGAGAGAGGGUCUUGUGGGCCAGAACUUUGAUUGGGGUCAAGCAUGUUGCUAAGCAGGUUUCCCACAGGGAGUGUUAACGUGUCACUUUACAGCAAGCAGGCAUGAGUUCCAUGGAGUUCUGUGUGGGAGGUGGCCACUGUGGCAUAUCUGUACAGUCCACAUGGAGUGUGGGGAUUGGUGGGUGGAAUAAAGUAGGCUGUGUCUAGCGGUCUCCUAGAUAGACUCUACGUGAUAGAUAUCCAAAUUGACGAGAUUAAGGAACUGGGAGGAAGCAGAGAACUGGAAACUGUGUCACAGGUGACUAAGUCCUGCUUCUGUUGUGAGCAAGUUAAUUCUACAGACAAAAUGGAUGGUGAAGCAAUAUACAAUUUUAAUAAUUCAAUAUAACAUGUCAAAUAGGAAUUCUGGUACUCCACUAGUAACUUUAAUAUUCCUAAUUCUAAUAGGUAGAAAGUAAGUGGAAUUGGUCAACUUACAUGAAAUUUAUAUUGAAGCGUGUUUCCUCAAAAACAAAUCAGAAUGUGGCAGAUGAGGCACUAUGAUUUCAGAUUGUGAAAUGUAUAGUAAGAGGGAAAAAUAGUGUGUUCUAUUAAUGCUAGCGUGCAUGUUUUCACAUCUUUCAAAUAUGAAUGCAUCUUAAAAUGCAUAGUGUCAAAACAGUGUUAGCCACGAGGCAGUCAUAAUGUGUUGGUUCUCAUGUGAACAUGCAUGAACUUAUCUAAAACCUUUCAUUGACAUCUUAUGAUGCUAUCACAUCAGCUUCAAAACCUGCAGAGUGGCUGUCAGGAGGUUGGAAAGAUAAUCUCCUGGAGAGUGGCUUAGGAAUCUCACAAGAAAUGUGGCAUAGCCAAAGCUGCUGAUUGACACAGAUGAUGAUAAUAUGGGGAAUGUCAUGGAGAGGAGGAGCUGCAAAGUUAUACAGAAGACUUUUACCCAAAUGAGAGAAAUUUAGAAAUAUCUUUGUGGAUACAUGGUACUUACUUUUUUUUUCCGUCCCACAUAAUCAUGGAAGUAAUCUGAAAUGAAUAUCCACAUUUUUACAAAUUAUAAAAAGUUUUCUCAAUAUUUAUGACAUAAAUAUUAUAAAUGAUAAGUAUUAUCCAUGUCAUAGUUUGUCAGUGAUUUUGUUCUCUGUGAUGAAUAAAAUAAUGAUGUAUUUUACAAUUGAUGUGAUUGAUACAUUGUGCAAGUUUUAGAAAAUGCCUUUAGUAUUAACAAAUGAUCGUUUAGUGGUUUGUAUACACCUGGUAUUAUUCUACAUGCUUGACGUAUUAUUAGUUCAUUAAAUCUUCACAGCAUCUCAGAAGGGAAGCACUAAUACCACUCCCAUGAUCCAAUUCUGAAUCACAGAAAUAAACAGAAAAACCUGAACUUGACUCAGUCUGUUUCCAGAAUGCUUGCUCACAUCAAAUGUGUUAGAGUAUCUUUUAACUUAUAUGGUAAAUACUUUAUAGGUUUAGUUUAAGAAUUGUUACUCUUCACCACAGUCAUGAAGCUAUCUUUUUAAGUUCUAAAUAAUGUAUUACAUUGUCUUUAUAUUUAUGUCUAUGAUCCCCUUGAAAUAGGUUGUGUGUGUAAUGUGAGAGUAAUGGUAGAUUUUAUUUCCAAUGAUGCAUAUUCAUAUCCCUACAUUUAUUGAAAAUUUAUUUCCCCACUAAUUUGUCUUAUAUAUUAUUUACCUAUAUAUGCAUGUGUUUGUUUUUGAGCUGUCUUUAAUUUUUUUCCAUUGGUUUUCUCUGUCUUUGUGCAAAUACUGAGUGAGUCCCUUCAUUUAAUGCAAGCAUUUUCCUCCAGUGCCGUUUCUGUUGUCCAUUGUACUGUUCUAUAAUGAAGUAAAAGAAGGGUCAAAUUUUGCAUGCCUUACACCUACACCAGGAUUCCCAGCUGUAUCUUGAAGGAAGCGGAGGUUAGAACGUUCAAUAUUAAUGUUGACACUAAUGUCUCUAACGUCCUCGUGAAUCAUAGGCAAUUCUCCCGAGAUACUGUCUGCUUUAUUGUGUGUGCGUGUGUUUUAACGUUCUCAGUGAAUUACAUUUGCUAUCAUGACUCCUGAUUUUCUUUCCCUGAUUUUAGGAUACUCAGUAACUUUCUACUCCCCUAGCAACAGCCAGCAGUGGUAGGAACCUGCAGACAGCCCUGAGCGCGUCGUGCGCGAGCGCAGACACCCCCGGGGUGGUGUGUGGCUCCCUCCAGACCACGCCCACCAAUGCCGUCGCAGCUGGUGCAGCGGAGCUCGGAUCCUCUCCGUGGGGUCUGCACCGGCAAGGGCAGCUGCUGCCUGCCUUUCCUCUGGAAUCGAUUGAGCUUUGACUCUCCUUUAAUGCAGUUUGCAUAUGAAGGGAAAGCUGGUUAUCCUGACUAGUAAAGAAGGGAUUACUGAACCUGAAACUGUGAAGAGACAACAAAAGCAAGAAGAGGACAGAAACAAUUCAGGGCUCCAAGAAGCAGAGUAGGAUCUGUUGAGUGACUGCAAUGUGGAAGUCUCUAACGUCAGCAAGACUGUGCUGAGAGGAGCACAUUUUCCUUUCUGUGACCCAUGUUUUGGUGAAGUCAUGAUGACACAUGGAUACCCUGCCUCAUGAGCGCUGGUGUGACUUCUGUCUUCUGUUCUUACCACUGGACAUGAUGGCUUGAUGAAGUCAGGCCACCUCGCUCUUCUGUGCUCUCAGUUCCAUCUUCUCAACUCGGGAAGCCUGCCAAGGUCCUUACAACAUCACAGCAGUAAACUUGGGCAAUAGCGGGCUUCACUCACAUCUUCGUUGUGUAUUUCCAGACCCAGUCAUGAAUUCUUUGGGACCAUGCACUCCGUUGAGACUUACCUUAUGGUUUUCUGUUGAACAGUGCCAAGUCCAAAAGCCACAGGUUAAAUAUCAUAGUGGUAGCAGGUUUGUACAUAUGCACCAGUGAAUCCUAACAACAAACACAUGAGCUUGGAAGGAGAUUCUUUUCCAACUGAGCCUUUGGUUGAGAGCCCAGCCCUGGCCAUCAGCUAAUCUGGAUUCCUGACCCAAAGAAACUGGAGAUUACUUCAUAUUGGUCAUCAAGGGCGAGAGCUUGUACGCAAGACAGAAAUCAUAAUUAUGUGGAGUUAACAGAAGUGACAAGUGGUCAGAGCAAAGCAUUUCAUGAAAAUCGCAGUUCACAUGCGUCUGCAGUCCCUGCUUACAGUGAGAUUCACAUGACCAUCGUUCAUGAGAUCAUGAGAUACGAAGGAUGAAAGGGGAGGAAGAAAAAGAUAAGUAGUUGAACUGGAUGAAGAAUUGGAUUUGGAAAGCAGCUUAGAAUAAUCUCUGCUUAUAUUUUUAAGAUUAAGGGAAAGUCUCAAAAUACAGAUUCUUGUGUCUUCAGAGAGCUGCAGUCUGAUGCAAACUUUUUUUUUUAAAUAAAUAAUGUUAAAACGUGACAAUAUAUAUAUUUGGUGCAGGAAUUCUAAGGUCCUUACAAUUAUCAGAAAGAAGAUUAUAAGUAAUAUUAGACUGCUGUGUCAUCUAUAGGGUAACCACUAAAAGAACAGCAAAAAGCAAAAUAAAUCAUGUAACUACAAAGCUAAUACAGGGCAAUAGUGGAAUAAUGAGGCAAAAAGGGAGAGAAAAUAUAGAACAAAUAGGACAAAUAGAAAUCAAAUACAUUAGGAGGUUUAAAUCUAAAUAUCGGUUACAACAUUCAUGUGAAUAGACAGUGUAUCAAUUAAAUGCAAAGAUUAUCAAAGUGAAAAGAAAGAAAACUCACAAAGUACCUGUACUGAUUCAUACUUUUAUGUAACACUUAGUACUAUUUCUGUCUUCCUUCUCCUUGGGAUGUUUUAAAAUUAUUUGUUUGUUUAUCGUUUUUUUU